rnacentral:rRNA from 1 species
GACGAACGCUGGCGGCGUGCUUAACACAUGCAAGUCGAACGGAAAGGCCCUGCUUUUGUGGGGUGCUCGAGUGGCGAACGGGUGAGUAACACGUGAGUAACCUGCCCUUGACUUUGGGAUAACUUCAGGAAACUGGGGCUAAUACCGGAUAGGAGCUCCUGCUGCAUGGUGGGGGUUGGAAAGUUUCGGCGGUUGGGGAUGGACUCGCGGCUUAUCAGCUUGUUGGUGGGGUAGUGGCUUACCAAGGCUUUGACGGGUAGCCGGCCUGAGAGGGUGACCGGCCACAUUGGGACUGAGAUACGGCCCAGACUCCUACGGGAGGCAGCAGUGGGGAAUAUUGCACAAUGGGCGGAGGCCUGAUGCAGCAACGCCGCGUGCGGGAUGACGGCCUUCGGGUUGUAAACCGCUUUCGCCUGUGACGAAGCGUGAGUGACGGUAAUGGGUAAAGAAGCACCGGCUAACUACGUGCCAGCAGCCGCGGUGAUACGUAGGGUGCGAGCGUUGUCCGGAUUUAUUGGGCGUAAAGGGCUCGUAGGUGGUUGAUCGCGUCGGAAGUGUAAUCUUGGGGCUUAACCCUGAGCGUGCUUUCGAUACGGGUUGACUUGAGGAAGGUAGGGGAGAAUGGAAUUCCUGGUGGAGCGGUGGAAUGCGCAGAUAUCAGGAGGAACACCAGUGGCGAAGGCGGUUCUCUGGGCCUUUCCUGACGCUGAGGAGCGAAAGCGUGGGGAGCGAACAGGCUUAGAUACCCUGGUAGUCCACGCUGUAAACGGUGGGUACUAGGUGUGGGGUCCAUUCCACGGGUUCCGUGCCGUAGCUAACGCUUUAAGUACCCCGCCUGGGGAGUACGGCCGCAAGGCUAAAACCCAAAGGAAUUGACGGGGCCCCGCACAAGCGGCGGAGCAUGCGGAUUAAUUCGAUGCAACGCGUAGAACCUUACCUGGGUUUGACAUGGAUCGGGAGUGCUCAGAGAUGGGUGUGCCUCUUUUGGGGUCGGUUCACAGGUGGUGCAUGGCUGUCGUCAGCUCGUGUCGUGAGAUGUUGGGUUAAGUCCCGCAACGAGCGCAACCCUUGUUCACUGUUGCCAGCACGUUAUGGUGGGGACUCAGUGGAGACCGCCGGGGUCAACUCGGAGGAAGGUGGGGAUGACGUCAAGUCAUCAUGCCCCUUAUGUCCAGGGCUUCACGCAUGCUACAAUGGCUGGUACAGAGAGUGGCGAGCCUGUGAGGGUGAGCGAAUCUCGGAAAGCCGGUCUCAGUUCGGAUUGGGGUCUGCAACUCGACCUCAUGAAGUCGGAGUCGCUAGUAAUCGCAGAUCAGCAACGCUGCGGUGAAUACGUUCCCGGG